rnacentral:rRNA from 1 species
GGGGGACGAACCGUGGGAAACUACGGCUAAUACCGCAUGAUCCCUGAGGGGCAAAGGCGAAAGUCGCCUGAGGAGGAGCCUGCGUCUGAUUAGGUAGUUGGUGGGGUAAAGGCCUACCAAGCCUGCGAUCAGUAGCUGGUCUGAGAGGAUGAUCAGCCACAUUGGGACUGAGACACGGCCCAAACUCCUACGGGAGGCAGCAGUGGGGAAUAUUGGACAAUGGGCGAAAGCCUGAUCCAGCAAUGCCGCGUGUGUGAAGAAGGUCUUCGGAUUGUAAAGCACUUUUGGCAGGGACGAUGAUGACGGUACCUGCAGAAUAAGCCCCGGCUAACUUCGUG